rnacentral:tRNA from 1 species
GCGGAUGUAGCUCAGUUGGUAGAGCAUCACCUUGCCCAAGGUGAGGGUCGCGGGUUCGAGUCUCGUCAUCCGCU